UCAACUAAAGUGAAUCUGAAUCUUCAACUAGAGCUUUUAUCAUUAUUGUUUCCUCUUUAUUUUUAUUUGCUUUAUUUAUUUGCUUUCAUCAUUAGAUUAAUUGAAUCAAUCUCAAAACCCCUUUUUUUACUUUACUUGCACUUUAUUUUCAUUGUCUAUUUAUUUUCUGUUUGUUUAUUUGGUCUUGACAAGAAAGAUAGGUAAGUAUCAAUUCCCUGUGGAUUCGAUCCUUUCACCACUAUCUACAGUAUUUAUAUUGUUGAUAAAUGAAUUGAUU
rnacentral:lncRNA from 1 species